AAACUUUCAACAACGGAUCUCUUGGCUCUGGCAUCGAUGAAGAACGCAGCGAAAUGCGAUAAGUAAUGUGAAUUGCAGAAUCUAGUGAAUCAUCGAAUCUUUGAACGCACAUUGCGCCCCUUGGUAUUCCAAAGGGCAUGCCUGUUCGAGCGUC
rnacentral:rRNA from 1 species